UAGGGAAUCUUCCGCAAUGGGCGAAAGCCUGACGGAGCAACGCCGCGUGAGUGAUGAAGGUCUUCGGAUCGUAAAACUCUGUUAUUAGGGAAGAACAAAUGUGUAAGUAACUAUGCACGUCUUGACGGUACCUAAUCAGAAAGCCACGGCUAACUACGUGCCAGCAGCCGCGGUAAUACGUAGGUGGCAAGCGUUAUCCGGAAUUAUUGGGCGUAAAGCGCGCGUAGGCGGUUUUUUAAGUCUGAUGUGAAAGCCCACGGCUCAACCGUGGAGGGUCAUUGGAAACUGGAAAACUUGAGUGCCGAAGAGGAAAGUGGAAUUCCCUGUGUAGCGGUGAAAUGCGCAGAGAUAUGGAGGAACACCAGUGGCGAAGGCGACUUUCUGGUCUGUAACUGACGCUGAUGUGCGAAAGCGUGGGGAUCAAACAGG
rnacentral:rRNA from 1 species